GGGUUGUGAGGUUAAGCGACUAAGCGUACACGGUGGAUGCCCUGGCAGUCAGAGGCGAUGAAGGACGUGCUAAUCUGCGAUAAGCGUCGGUAAGGUGAUAUGAACCGUUAUAACCGGCGAUUUCCGAAUGGGGAAACCCAGUGUGAUUCGUCACACUAUCAUUAACUGAAUCCAUAGGUUAAUGAGGCGAACCGGGGGAACUGAAACAUCUAAGUACCCCGAGGAAAAGAAAUCAACCGAGAUUCCCCCAGUAGCGGCGAGCGAACGGGGAGGAGCCCAGAGCCUGAAUCAGUGUGUGUGUUAGUGGAAGCGUCUGGAAAGGCGCGCGAUACAGGGUGACAGCCCCGUACACAAAAAUGCACAUACUGUGAGCUCGAUGAGUAGGGCGGGACACGUGGUAUCCUGUCUGAAUAUGGGGGGACCAUCCUCCAAGGCUAAAUACUCCUGACUGACCGAUAGUGAACCAGUACCGUGAGGGAAAGGCGAAAAGAACCCCGGCGAGGGGAGUGAAAAAGAACCUGAAACCGUGUACGUACAAGCAGUGGGAGCCUCUUAAUGGGGUGACUGCGUACCUUUUGUAUAAUGGGUCAGCGACUUAUAUUCUGUAGCAAGGUUAACCGAAUAGGGGAGCCGAAGGGAAACCGAGUCUUAACUGGGCGUUAAGUUGCAGGGUAUAGACCCGAAACCCGGUGAUCUAGCCAUGGGCAGGUUGAAGGUUGGGUAACACUAACUGGAGGACCGAACCGACUAAUGUUGAAAAAUUAGCGGAUGACUUGUGGCUGGGGGUGAAAGGCCAAUCAAACCGGGAGAUAGCUGGUUCUCCCCGAAAGCUAUUUAGGUAGCGCCUCGUGAAUUCAUCUCCGGGGUAGAGCACUGUUUCGGCAAGGGGGUCAUCCCGACUUACCAACCCGAUGCAAACUGCGAAUACCGGAGAAUGUUAUCACGGGAGACACACGGCGGGUGCUAACGUCCGUCGUGAAGAGGGAAACAACCCAGACCGCCAGCUAAGGUCCCAAAGUCAUGGUUAAGUGGGAAACGAUGUGGGAAGGCCCAGACAGCCAGGAUGUUGGCUUAGAAGCAGCCAUCAUUUAAAGAAAGCGUAAUAGCUCACUGGUCGAGUCGGCCUGCGCGGAAGAUGUAACGGGGCUAAACCAUGCACCGAAGCUGCGGCAGCGACGCUGAUGCGUUGUUGGGUAGGGGAGCGUUCUGUAAGCCUGUGAAGGUGGCCUGUGAGGGUUGCUGGAGGUAUCAGAAGUGCGAAUGCUGACAUAAGUAACGAUAAAGCGGGUGAAAAGCCCGCUCGCCGGAAGACCAAGGGUUCCUGUCCAACGUUAAUCGGGGCAGGGUGAGUCGACCCCUAAGGCGAGGCCGAAAGGCGUAGUCGAUGGGAAACAGGUUAAUAUUCCUGUACUUGGUGUUACUGCGAAGGGGGGACGGAGAAGGCUAUGUUGGCCGGGCGACGGUUGUCCCGGUUUAAGCGUGUAGGCUGGUUUUCCAGGCAAAUCCGGAAAAUCAAGGCUGAGGCGUGAUGACGAGGCACUACGGUGCUGAAGCGACAAAUGCCCUGCUUCCAGGAAAAGCCUCUAAGCAUCAGGUAACAUCAAAUCGUACCCCAAACCGACACAGGUGGUCAGGUAGAGAAUACCAAGGCGCUUGAGAGAACUCGGGUGAAGGAACUAGGCAAAAUGGUGCCGUAACUUCGGGAGAAGGCACGCUGAUAUGUAGGUGAAGCGACUUGCUCGUGGAGCUGAAAUCAGUCGAAGAUACCAGCUGGCUGCAACUGUUUAUUAAAAACACAGCACUGUGCAAACACGAAAGUGGACGUAUACGGUGUGACGCCUGCCCGGUGCCGGAAGGUUAAUUGAUGGGGUUAGCGGUAACGCGAAGCUCUUGAUCGAAGCCCCGGUAAACGGCGGCCGUAACUAUAACGGUCCUAAGGUAGCGAAAUUCCUUGUCGGGUAAGUUCCGACCUGCACGAAUGGCGUAAUGAUGGCCAGGCUGUCUCCACCCGAGACUCAGUGAAAUUGAACUCGCUGUGAAGAUGCAGUGUACCCGCGGCAAGACGGAAAGACCCCGUGAACCUUUACUAUAGCUUGACACUGAACAUUGAGCCUUGAUGUGUAGGAUAGGUGGGAGGCUUUGAAGUGUGGACGCCAGUCUGCAUGGAGCCGACCUUGAAAUACCACCCUUUAAUGUUUGAUGUUCUAACGUGGGCCCCUUACCGGGGUUGCGGACAGUGUCUGGUGGGUAGUUUGACUGGGGCGGUCUCCUCCUAAAGAGUAACGGAGGAGCACGAAGGUUGGCUAAUCCUGGUCGGACAUCAGGAGGUUAGUGCAAUGGCAUAAGCCAGCUUGACUGCGAGCGUGACGGCGCGAGCAGGUGCGAAAGCAGGUCAUAGUGAUCCGGUGGUUCUGAAUGGAAGGGCCAUCGCUCAACGGAUAAAAGGUACUCCGGGGAUAACAGGCUGAUACCGCCCAAGAGUUCAUAUCGACGGCGGUGUUUGGCACCUCGAUGUCGGCUCAUCACAUCCUGGGGCUGAAGUAGGUCCCAAGGGUAUGGCUGUUCGCCAUUUAAAGUGGUACGCGAGCUGGGUUUAGAACGUCGUGAGACAGUUCGGUCCCUAUCUGCCGUGGGCGCUGGAGAACUGAGGGGGGCUGCUCCUAGUACGAGAGGACCGGAGUGGACGCAUCACUGGUGUUCGGGUUGUCAUGCCAAUGGCACUGCCCGGUAGCUAAAUGCGGAAGAGAUAAGUGCUGAAAGCAUCUAAGCACGAAACUUGCCCCGAGAUGAGUUCUCCCUGAGACUUAGAGUCUCCUGAAGGAACGUUGAAGACGACGACGUUGAUAGGCCGGGUGUGUAAGCGCAGCGAUGCGUUGAGCUAACCGGUACUAAUGAACCGUGAGGCUUAACCUUACAACGCCGAAG
rnacentral:rRNA from 1 species